UACGUAGGGUGCAAGCGUUAUCCGGAAUCACUGGGCGUAAAGGGCGCGUAGGCGGCCGAUCAAGUCGGGGGUGAAAGCCUGUGGCUCAACCACAGAAUUGCCUUCGAUACUGUUUGGCUUGAGACCGGAAGAGGUUAGUGGAACUGCGAGUGUAGAGGUGAAAUUCGUAGAUAUUCGCAAGAACACCAGUGGCGAAGGCGGCUCACUGGCCCGGUACUGACGCUGAGGUGCGAAAGCGUGGGGAGCAAACAGG
rnacentral:rRNA from 1 species